GUCCACGCCGUAAACGUUGGGCACUAGGUGUGGGUCUCAACCAACGAGAUCCGUGCCGCAGCUAACGCAUUAAGUGCCCCGCCUGGGGAGUACGGCCGCAAGGCUAAAACUCAAAGGAAUUGACGGGGGCCCCGCACAAGCGGCGGAGCAUGUUGCUUAAUUCGAGGCAACGCGAAGAACCUUACCUGGGUUUGACAUUCUGGGAAAAGCCGUAGAGAUACGGUGUCCGAAAGGGUCCAGAACAGGUGGUGCAUGGCUGUCGU
rnacentral:rRNA from 1 species